rnacentral:rRNA from 1 species
AAACAUGUCUUUUUGAAAAUAAUUUAAAGUCUAAUCUGCCCACUGAUNAAAUUAUUAAAGGGCUGCAGUAUUUUGACUGUACAAAGGUAGCAUAAUCAUUAGUCUCUUAAUUGGUGACUUGUAUGAAAGAUUGGAUGAAAUAUAUACUGUCUCUAUUUAAUUUAUAAAAUUUAAUUUUUUAGUAAAAAAGCUAAAAUGAAUUUAAAAGACGAGAAGACCCUAUAGAGUUUAAUAAUUUAUUUAAUUAUUAUUAAUGUAUAAAUUUUAAAAUUAAAAUUGAAUAAAUUAUUUUGUUGGGGUGAUAGAAAAAUUAAAUUAACUUUUUUUUUAUUUUAUACAUUAAUUUAUGAAUAAAUGAUCCAUUAAUAAUGAUUAAAAGAAAAAAUUACCUUAGGGAUAACAGCGUAAUUUUUUUUUUUAGUUCAAAUAGGAAAAAAAGUUUGCGACCUCGAUGUUGGAUUAAGAUAAAAAUUAAAUGCAAAAGUUUAAAAUUUUAAUCUGUUCGAUCAUUAAAAUCUUA